UACGGAAGGCAGCAGUGGGGAAUAUUGCACAAUGGGCGCAAGCCUGAUGCAGCCAUGCCGCGUGUAUGAAGAAGGCCUUCGGGUUGUAAAGUACUUUCAGUCGUGAGGAAGGUGUUAAGGUUAAUAACCUUAGCAAUUGACGUUAGCGACAGAAGAAGCACCGGCUAACUCCGUGCCAGCAGCCGCGGUAAUACGGAGGGUGCGAGCGUUAAUCGGAAUUACUGGGCGUAAAGGGCACGCAGGCGGUUAAUUAAGUUGGAUGUGAAAUCCCCGGGCUUAACCUGGGAAUGGCAUUCAAGACUGGUUAGCUAGAGUCUUGUAGAGGGGGUAGAAUUCCAUGUGUAGCGGUGAAAUGCGUAGAGAUGUGGAGGAAUACCGGUGGCGAAAGGCGGCCCCUGGACAAAGACUGACGCUCAUGUGCGAAAAGCGUGGGGAGCAAAACAGGGAUUAGAUACC
rnacentral:rRNA from 1 species